rnacentral:rRNA from 1 species
ACUUAAAUUGAAGAGUUUGAUCAUGGCUCAGAUUGAACGCUGGCGGCAGGCCUAACACAUGCAAGUCGAACGGUAGCACAGAGAGCUUGCUCUCGGGUGACGAGUGGCGGACGGGUGAGUAAUGUCUGGGAAACUGCCUGAUGGAGGGGGAUAACUACUGGAAACGGUAGCUAAUACCGCAUAACGUCGCAAGACCAAAGAGGGGGACCUUCGGGCCUCUUGCCAUCAGAUGUGCCCAGAUGGGAUUAGCUAGUAGGUGGGGUAAUGGCUCACCUAGGCGACGAUCCCUAGCUGGUCUGAGAGGAUGACCAGCCACACUGGAACUGAGACACGGUCCAGACUCCUACGGGAGGCAGCAGUGGGGAAUAUUGCACAAUGGGCGCAAGCCUGAUGCAGCCAUGCCGCGUGUAUGAAGAAGGCCUUCGGGUUGUAAAGUACUUUCAGCGGGGAGGAAGGUGUUGUGGUUAAUAACCACAGCAAUUGACGUUACCCGCAGAAGAAGCACCGGCUAACUCCGUGCCAGCAGCCGCGGUAAUACGGAGGGUGCAAGCGUUAAUCGGAAUUACUGGGCGUAAAGCGCACGCAGGCGGUCUGUCAAGUCGGAUGUGAAAUCCCCGGGCUCAACCUGGGAACUGCAUUCGAAACUGGCAGGCUAGAGUCUUGUAGAGGGGGGUAGAAUUCCAGGUGUAGCGGUGAAAUGCGUAGAGAUCUGGAGGAAUACCGGUGGCGAAGGCGGCCCCCUGGACAAAGACUGACGCUCAGGUGCGAAAGCGUGGGGAGCAAACAGGAUUAGAUACCCUGGUAGUCCACGCCGUAAACGAUGUCGACUUGGAGGUUGUGCCCUUGAGGCGUGGCUUCCGGAGCUAACGCGUUAAGUCGACCGCCUGGGGAGUACGGCCGCAAGGUUAAAACUCAAAUGAAUUGACGGGGGCCCGCACAAGCGGUGGAGCAUGUGGUUUAAUUCGAUGCAACGCGAAGAACCUUACCUACUCUUGACAUCCAGAGAACUUAGCAGAGAUGCUUUGGUGCCUUCGGGAACUCUGAGACAGGUGCUGCAUGGCUGUCGUCAGCUCGUGUUGUGAAAUGUUGGGUUAAGUCCCGCAACGAGCGCAACCCUUAUCCUUUGUUGCCAGCGGUCCGGCCGGGAACUCAAAGGAGACUGCCAGUGAUAAACUGGAGGAAGGUGGGGAUGACGUCAAGUCAUCAUGGCCCUUACGAGUAGGGCUACACACGUGCUACAAUGGCGCAUACAAAGAGAAGCGACCUCGCGAGAGCAAGCGGACCUCAUAAAGUGCGUCGUAGUCCGGAUUGGAGUCUGCAACUCGACUCCAUGAAGUCGGAAUCGCUAGUAAUCGUAGAUCAGAAUGCUACGGUGAAUACGUUCCCGGGCCUUGUACACACCGCCCGUCACACCAUGGGAGUGGGUUGCAAAAGAAGUAGGUAGCUUAACCUUCGGGAGGGCGCUUACCACUUUGUGAUUCAUGACUGGGGUGAAGUCGUAACAAGGUAACCGUAGGGGAACCUGCGGUUGGAUCACCUCCUUACCUUAAAGAA